UACGGGGGGAGCAAGCGUUGUUCGGAUUUACUGGGCGUAAAGGGCGCGUAGGCGGUCAGCACAAGUCAGUUGUGAAAUCUCCGGGCUUAACUCGGAAAGGUCAACUGAUACUGUGCGACUAGAGUGCAGAAGGGGCAACUGGAAUUCUCGGUGUAGCGGUGAAAUGCGUAGAUAUCGAGAGGAACACCUGAGGCGAAGGCGGGUUACUGGGCCGAUACUGACGCUGAUGCGCGAAAGCCAGGGGAGCAAACGGG
rnacentral:rRNA from 1 species